GCAAGUCGAGGGGUAACAGGAGUGCUUGCACUCGCUGACGACCGGCGCACGGGUGCGUAACGCGUAUAGAACCUACCUUUUACUGAGGGAUAGCCUUUAGAAAUGAAGAUUAAUACCCCAUAGUAUUGCUUAUUGGCAUCAAUUAGUAAUUAAAGAUUUAUCGGUAAAAGAUGGCUAUGCGUCCUAUUAGCUAGAUGGUAAGGUAACGGCUUACCAUGGCAACGAUAGGUAGGGGCCCUGAGAGGGGGAUC
rnacentral:rRNA from 1 species